rnacentral:tRNA from 1 species
GACCUCGUAGCUCAGUUGGCAGAGCAUUGGGCUAGUAUUCCAAAGGUCGUAGGUUCGAUUCCCACCGUGGACA